AAAGGGGUUGUAAACCAGCUUGGUCGUUGGCGCUCUCGCGGACAGGCGUCUAAAGCUAGAGAAAUGAGGGAUGCUCAACUAGCGGACCUACCGAUAGAUGGCUCUGCCAGCUGAUGACUGUCGUCUGUAUUGUCCGCCAACCGCCAUAUUCGAAUUUGGCAAGAAGUUUCUCUCGGUCUGUAUGGUGUAUAAGGAAUUAAGGUUUAUCGAAAUGGUGAUUCCUUGUUCCGCUUUCAAUUGUACGAAGCGAUCGAAUAAGGAAAGUGACUUACCAUUUCACAGGUUUCCUCUAAAGCACCCAGAGCUGCUAAAGAAGUGGAUUACUUCCGUGAAGCGGAAAGGUUUUAAUGCUACGUCUUGCAGUCUUCUUUGCAGGAACCAUUUCCCGACAAGAUGAUUACGUACUGAGCCCUGGAACGUGGAAGAAACGUCUCAAACCCGAAGCAGAGCCAUCAGUUAUUGACUUUCCGACACAUUUGAUGCCACCAAAUAAACAGUCACGACGACAUGUUAGGAUUUUGAGUGACAACGAUGCUUCUCCAUUUGAGAGUGCAGUUGGUUCUUCAGUAACUGAUUGUGGUAUACAGUCGAAAGUAGAAAUGGAAGACAAGGCGACCGACACUUGCAAUUUUUUUCUCAGACAUUGUGCACGAAUUAAAACGUAAACCGAAGUGCGUCCGUGAAAAACUUCGAAGAAGAGAAAAGAAAGUGUUUUCCAUGAAUGACAUCAUAAGUUCAAUGAAGGAGAAGGGGCAUCUUCCUCAGAAGUUACAUAACUUCCUCAAUCAUCAGAAAGGAACACAAGUGGAAUUAGUGUGCAAUUUAGUGAACAAUUCUCUCUCGUCAAAGGGUAAUAGAUACACAACACUGUGAAAAAUGUUUGUGAUGACUGUGUACUUUUAUUCACCAGCAGCAUAUGACUAGCUGCAAAAAUUAAUGCCUCUGCCCCCAUAAAUCAUUCAUUUCCAAAUGGAUGGCAAGUGUUUUUAGGUACAUUGAUUUGAACUCAAUUGUAAGGGACCAGUUCAACGAUUCAUGUCUAAUUAUUGACAGUAUGGCAAUUAGGAAGCAAGUAGUUUGGGACCAAGGAACUAAGCAAUACACAGGUUUUUUAGACUUUGGCGGGGAAGUGCCUCAGUCAAAAGAAGCAAUAGAGGCAUCUGAGGCUCUGGUUUUCAUGCUUGUCUCUAUUAAAGCCAAAUUGAAAUGCCCAGUUGCAUAUUUAUUUAUCAAUGGUGUACAGGCAAUUAAUCAGGCCACACUGAUAAAAUCUGCUUUAGAGAGGCUGCUUAGUUCUGGCAUUAGGGUUUGGCGUGUUACAUGUGAUGGCUGCAAGGUAAAUAUAAGCACUUUACAUUCACUUGGCUGUACUUUAAAUUUUUACAAGGGUGAUUUUAAAAGCCACAUUCCUCAUCCUGUGGAAAAAUACAAUGUUUAUUGUAUCUUGGACAUGUGUCAUGAUUAAGUUGGCCACAAAUGCGCUAGCAGAAGUAUCUGCUAUUAAGUCUCCAACUGGCAUCAUUAGAUGGCAUUUCAUUAAGCAAUUGGACAAGGUACAAGAAGAAGAAGGUAUGAUAUUUGCCAACAAACUAUCAGGACAACAUAUAACUUAUGUAAAUAGAAAAAUGAAUGUUUCAUUAGCUGCACAGACUGAGUUCUAGCAUGGCAGAUAGUAUAGAGUUUUUGAGGAGGGUUGGAAGUGAAGCAACAGUAGAAUUUUUGUAUUAUAUUGAUAGGAUUUUUGAUGUUCUGAACUCCAGAAAUCCAUUAGGUAAAGGGUAUAAGAGUCCCCUGAGACUUGAGAACAAAUCUUAUUGGCUUUGUAUUUUCAGAGAUACUGAAAAUUGUAUCAAAAGCUUAAAAAUUGUUGGUGUUCCAUUGCUGCUCCAUGCAAGAAAUACUUUUGCUUUUGGGAUAAUUUUCAAUAUGCAAUCAGUCAGGCACAUAGCUCUGGCAAGUAUGCUUCGUGUUGAACCUCCUCUGAAGUAUUUGCUAACAUAUAAACUGCCACAAGACCACAUAGGGCUUUUUUCCCUUGCAUUCAUUCCAGAGGUGAUUGGAACAACAAUCCAAAUGCAUACCAGUUCAAAUGUGCCAUGAGAAAGUUGCUCUUAGGUAACAGUGUCACUGCAAUGAAUUGCUCAAAUUUUAAUGUGUGUUGUUUGCCACCUGUUUAUGAUUUUCAUGCAAGAAAGCAUGUAGUAGAAAGUGAUGAAAGUGCUGCAGAAAAUGAAGUACAGGAGUGGUGUGCACUUCUUGAUGAUAAGAUUAAGUUCUCAUUUUACAAGCAAAACAUAUUGCAGGGUAUGUGUCAUUGCACAUGUCAAUUCAGAUCACAUGCAAAGACUGUCUUCACAUACUGAUGCCAGCAGUAGUUAAAUCUGCAUUAGAAUGUGAUGGUCUCUAUGCUUCUCCCAAUAUGGCCAAUAAAAUGCAUUUGUAAAUUUUAACUGGGGAAAACUGGUUAAACCAAGUGACCGUGUGUACUCUGUUGUAGAAUACUCAGAGAAAGUGUUUCAGAUGUUUGUGAUUGUUGGGGAUAUGCGACAGAAACAUAUUCAGGCCAAGAUUUUGCAUUGUGUUAAAAAUAAAAUUGUAGAUUACCCAUUUCCUGCUCUCGGUCAUGAUUACCAUUAUGAAAUAGGGAUUGAGGACUUACUUCAGACUCAACUUGUUUGUAAGAUUGCAUCCCUGUACUCCUGCAUAUGCUUAAAAACAUAUGGAAAAAAAAAAAAAAAUGUCUGCUGAGAAAAUUUUAAACAACGAAUCAAGUGUAAGGCAGUAGUUAAAUAAACUCAUAUUGUUUAAUCAUGUAUAGUGCCCAAAUUGGAAAAGAUUAUGUAAUGGUGAUGUAAAUAAAAUAGAAAGAAACUUCCACAUGGGAAAAACAUAUUAAAAACAAAGAUUCCAAGACUUACCAAGUGGGAAAGCGCCGGCAGACAGGCACAAUGAACAAAACACACAAACACACACACAGAAUUACUAGCUUUCGCAACCGAUGGUUGCUUCUUCAGGAAGGAGAGGGAAAGACGAAAGGAUGUGGGUUUUAAGGGAGAGGGUAAGGAGUCAUUCCAAUCCCGGGAGCGGAAAGACUUCCCUUAGGGGAAAAAAAGGACAGGUGUACACUCGCGCGCACACACACACAUAUCCAACCGCACAUACACAGACCCACAUCCUUUCGUCUUUCCCUCUCCUUCCUGAAGAAGCAACCAUCGGUUGUGAAAGCUAGUAAUUCUGUGUGUGUGUUUGUGUGUUUUGUUCAUUGUGCCUGUCUGCCGGCGCUUUCCCGCUUGGUAAGUCUUGGAAUCUUUGUUUUUAAUAGAUUAUGUAAUGGGAUAUUCCAUGCAGAUGGGUGUGACAUUCUGACAGAUUUCUUAAAACUAUUUUGUACAUAAAUUUGUGGUUGUGUAAUGAUGAACUUGAAAGAAUGAAUCACAUUGAAGUAAAAUUAACUCUUUACAUCUUGUGUAGAUAUUGUAACAAAAUUAUAAUUGUUUAUUAUAUAAACUUAUUUUAAGAUGUUUGGCGUUACAAAAUAUGCACUUGCAUUAAAAACAGGUGAUUUGUUUGAAAUUAAUGAAAAAAAUUAUGUUCUGAGACUUAUGACAGAUGGCUUUCGGAGUGAGAAAAUAUUUCCCUCAAUAACUACAUUAACUUGAAUUUUUCCCUUUAAGAAAGCAGUUUAAUCAUAGGAUGGGUGUGAUCUAAUGGAGUAUGCAGUGGCCCAAUGUUUCAAACAAUAAUAUUUGUGGAUACUCUGCAACAUAAGAGCAAUAAAGUUGUUACUCUGUUAAUUCCUAGAAUAAACACAAUGUUCCGAUUGAUCGUAAGCAUUCUUAUUACUUUAGAACCAUUCUAGAAUAAGGGGGCUGAGUCAGGCAAAACCUAAUAUUCUGAAUUUUGUCUUUAUUUUGCUAGGAGGUCUUUCUGUUUUACUUUCCUGUGGGGAGGGGGAGAAUGCAAAUAAUCAUAUGUAAUUAUCUUUCAGUACUACAAAGUACAGAAUACAGUGAUUACAGUUACAUGUUGCAAGCUAGGAAAUUUCAGUAUUCAUGUUACAUGCCUAAUUUUCAUUAACAUUUACCUUAAUUACAUGGUUACACUUUUUGCUGAUUUGAACUGUGUAUUACAUGUUUAAAAGAUUUUGUCUGGUCAUCGUAAUAAAAGUAUUUCAUUUUGUUAGUUCAUAUGUCCCAUACUGAACUGAAAUUAUCAAAUUAUGAUGCCAAAGGAAGGAAUUAACAUUAAGGAAUCUUACUUCACAGAAAUUAUGUAACAAUGGUUACACUUUUUGCUAGUUAACUUUAACAUAAACCAUUUAGUUUUCCAUUAAGCAUGAAAGCAGUUGCACGAGUCAUGUAAGGAACAAAGUUUCCCAUAGGGAACUAAAGUAUUUUACGUUUGAGUUAUUGUAGACCCAAAGUAUUGUGCUCUUCGUAUUUCUGUUUUAAAAAUUUUGUUACUCAAAUUCACAGACAAUUUGGAAUCUGUACAUAUAUGGGUGUAGCAAGGUAUUUUUCAUGUGCCAUGUGGAACCUUUAAUUUUAUGGUUUAAAUAUAAUUUAUUUCAUGAAUUACCUUUAAUACCAACAAUGUAUGAAUGCAUUAUUUACCAUUUAGAAGAAAUAUUAAUGUACAGAGUAACAAACCUCAUGAAAAAUGCGAAAGAUUGUUCUGUACAGAACUUGGAAUGGCUCUUAAUCAAUAGCAGGUAAAAAGAAGGCUUCUAUUAAAUG